rnacentral:rRNA from 1 species
UACGUAGGGUGCAAGCGUUGUCCGGAUUUAUUGGGCGUAAAGCGCGUGUAGGCGGCCAGAAAAGUCCGCUGUGAAAACUCGAGGCUCAACUUCGAGCUGUCGGUGGAAACUUUCUGGCUAGAGUCCGGAAGAGGAGAAUGGAAUUCCUGGUGUAGCGGUGGAAUGCGCAGAUAUCAGGAAGAACACCCGUGGCGAAGGCGGUUCUCUGGGACGGUACUGACGCUGAGACGCGAAAGCGUGGGGAGCGAACAGG